rnacentral:misc_RNA from 1 species
AAGACUAUAGACCUGCGGAGUACCUGCGGAGGGAUCAUUACAGGACUCGCAAGACUCCUACAACCCUGUGAACUUAACUAUAAGCACGUUGCUUCGGCGGGUGUCUCGGCGAGGGUUCUCCCUCCCCGGGGCGCUAAGCCCGCCGGCAGCCUACUAUACUCUGUCUCUUUGCGUUGGCAUCUCGAGUACAAACAAACAAGUUAAAACUUUUAACAACGGAUCUCUAGAUCGGAAGAGCAC